rnacentral:rRNA from 1 species
CCUACGGGAGGCAGCAGUGGGGAAUAUUGGGCAAUGGAGGCAACUCUGACCCAGCAACGCCGCGUGAAUGAUGAAGGUCUUCUGAUUGUUAAGUUCUGUUAUGGGGGGUGAACACCAUGACGGUACCCCAAUAGCACGCCACGGCUAACUACGUCCCAGCAGCCGCGGUAAUACGUAGGUGGCAAGCGUUAUCCGGAAUGACUGGGCGUAAAGGAUGCGUAGGUGGUUUAGUAAGUUGGCGGUGUAAUUCCGGGGCUCAACCUCGGCGCUACCGCCAAAACUAGUAGACUAGAGUGCAGGGGGGGUAAGUGGAAUUCCUAGUGUAGCGGUGGAAUGCGUAGAUAUUAGGAGGAACAUCAGGGGCGAAGGCGACUUACUGGACUGUAACUGACACUGAGGCACGAAAGCGUGGGGAGCAAACAGGAUUAGAUACCCUUGUAGUC